UACGUAGGGCGCAAGCGUUGUCCGGAAUUAUUGGGCGUAAAGAGCUCGUAGGCGGUUUGUCGCGUCUGCUGUGAAAACCUAAGGCUCAACCUUGGGCUUGCAGUGGGUACGGGCAGACUAGAGUGCGGUAGGGGUGACUGGAAUUCCUGGUGUAGCGGUGGAAUGCGCAGAUAUCAGGAGGAACACCGAUGGCGAAAGGCAGGUCACUGGGCCGCAACUGACGCUGAUGAGCGAAAGCUAGGGGAGCAAACGGG
rnacentral:rRNA from 1 species